AGAGACAGUUGAAGAAACUUCGUCUCUCUCUCUGAGAUGCUUAAUUUCUUUCCUUCCCAGUGACCUACCGAGCUCCUCACUACCCGGGCCAUUCUCCGUCCUCAGAGACCUGCUUCCUGAAGAGCUGGAUUUUCCCAGGAGGGAGCCAGGGCCUCGACCUCCCUGCUUUGCGUGGCCACGAGGGAGAAGAUGGGCGCCUUCAGACGAGACACGGCCUCCGGGAAGCCCUGGCAGCACUUCCGGCCCCGCCCCCAGGAAUGCGCCGGAAGCCCCCAGGAAUGCGCCGGAAGCCCUCAGUGUCAGCUGGUCCUGCCGCCCUCACCGGUGUCACCUGCCCCGUCGUCCUGUCUGAUGAGAUAUUCCAGGAUGUAAAGAUGACAGCUCCAGGACAUAAAGGUGUCAUGGUAAUUGCAUUCAGACAGCAGGGUUACGCUCAGAGAGCAGAAGUGAGACCCAGGACAGGUUUCGGCAGCUGCCUUGGUCUCAAAGAUCAGGAAGGAAGGUUAACAUCUGCUAACACCUGGUCCUUGAUGACUUAGAAGAACUGCCUGGCUUUAUCCCCAGGGCUACUAAGCUCACUUGAAGAUUUCAGGCAAAACCUGGAAAAAAAAAAGUCUUUUGAUUGGAUAUGCUUCUUGUCUAUAACUUUCCAGCUAAACUCUGCACACUUUGCUACAGGAAACAUUUAUGUCUUGUCCACCCUGCCUGAGCUGCCUCUCCUACCCCACCUACCUCCUCUCUCUGACCCCCUUCUCCCUCUACUCCCCCACCACCACAGAAGCAGCAGCAGGCCUGCCCCUCCGAGUUUUUCUUUAACACUCUGUCAA